UACGAAGGGGCUAGCGUUGCUCGGAAUCACUGGGCGUAAAGCGCACGUAGGCGGAUUGCUAAGUCAGGGGUGAAAUCUGAGCUCAACUCCAGAACUGCCUUGAUACUGGCGAUCUUGAGUCCGGGAGAGGUGAGUGGAACUGCGAGUGUAGAGGUGAAAUUCGUAGAUAUUCGCAAGAACACCAGUGGCGAAGGCGGCUCACUGGCCCGGUACUGACGCUGAGGUGCGGAAAGCGUGGGGAGCAAAC
rnacentral:rRNA from 1 species